CCCAAACACCGACCCGACCACGUGACCCGCGGGAGAGCCGCCCCUCCCCCCACCGGGAACCGGGUGGUGCGCCGCCUCUCGGACGGUUCCCGCUUCGCCCUCAGGCGCUCGCUCCGCCCCUCUCGGGCCCCGCCCAGCGCCGCCAUUGGCUGCGGGAGUGCCACGCCCAGCUGGGGGCGGGGCCGGCGCCGGGGCUCCUCCCCCUGCUGGCGGCCUGGGAGCAGCGACGUCACUUCCUGUUGCUGCUCCCGCUGUGCCCGGCCGGAAGUUUGGGCAGCCAAUGGCGGCGAGGGGCGGGGCCAAGCUACAAAGGGGCGUGGCUCGGCUCUGGAGGGGCGUGGUCUCGCCCCUGAGGGGCGUGGCUUGGGUUUUGUGGGGC
rnacentral:lncRNA from 1 species